GCCUGGGUGGCUCAGUCGGUUGAGCAUCUGACUUCGGCUCAGGUCAUGAUCUUGCAGUUUGUGAGUUCGAGCCCCACGUUGGGCU
rnacentral:tRNA from 1 species